rnacentral:ncRNA from 1 species
CGGAAUACAAUGAUGAGAAGAGUACGUUCUAAAGGAAACUUUCAGAGAGAAAAUCCCUUGGCUGUGAGGAUUUUCAGUGGAUCUGGAACCGAAGUGCAUCUCUGAGUACUGAAUCGAAGUAAUAGUAGACUUCAGCGGGAAUGCCCGUUACAGCAUUAGGGUAUGUUUGUACCCAAAGAUAAUGAGUUAUCCCUUCUUUUGGGGGUUAACAGAGUGGAACCGUGGAAGUAUACUUUCGCCUCUGUA